GAUGAACGCUAGCUACAGGCUUAACACAUGCAAGUCGAGGGGCAGCAUGGUCUUAGCUUGCUAAGGCCGAUGGCGACCGGCGCACGGGUGAGUAACGCGUAUCCAACCUGCCUUACACUCUUGGACAGCCUUCUGAAAGGGAGAUUAAUACAAGAUGUUAUCAUGAGUAAGCAUUUUCGCAUGAUUAAAGGUUUACCGGUGUAAGAUGGGGAUGCGUUCCAUUAGAUAGUAGGCGGGGUAACGGCCCACCUAGUCUUCGAUGGAUAGGGGUUCUGAGAGGAAGGUCCCCCACAUUGGAACUGAGACACGGUCCAAACUCCUACGGGAGGCAGCAGUGAGGAAUAUUGGUCAAUGGACGAGAGUCUGAACCAGCCAAGUAGCGUGAAGGAUGAAGGUUCUAUGGAUUGUAAACUUCUUUUAUACGGGAAUAAACGAAUCCACGUGUGGAUUUUUGCAUGUACCGUAUGAAUAAGGAUCGGCUAACUCCGUGCCAGCAGCCGCGGUAAUACGGAGGAUCCGAGCGUUAUCCGGAUUUAUUGGGUUUAAAGGGAGCGCAGGCGGCGGCGUAAGUCAGUUGUGAAAUCGUGCGGCUUAACCGUGCAAUUGCAGUUGAUACUGCGUCGCUUGAGUGCACACAGGGAUGUUGGAAUUCAUGGUGUAGCGGUGAAAUGCUUAGAUAUCAUGAAGAACUCCGAUCGCGAAGGCAUAUGUCCGGAGUGCAACUGACGCUGAGGCUCGAAAGUGUGGGUAUCAAACAGG
rnacentral:rRNA from 1 species